GCACAAACAAAAAGUGUUGAUGAACUAUACUUCUGUGGCAACAAAUACUGGAUACCUUUUUUAUAUUUCAGUAGCACAAAGAGGCAACAAACACUUCCCUUAAAAAAGAAUAUCAAAACAGUAGAUGAACUAGUGAACAAUCUCUACCAGCGAUUAUUAUUCUUUCCUUCUAAAUUCUAGGGACAGGUCAAAACACUGGUACAGUUAACACAUAUAGACACUUAGAGCGUGAGAGAGAGAACUGAAGAGCCAGAGGUGCCCCCCCCCCACUUUUUUUGCAAUGCCGCAUGUACGACCAACUAUGUCAGCGACAGAAAACGCUUGUUUUUUACGUGUGUAUAUCACAGGCGGUUUUACCUUAUUCUGCAGCAGUCUGUAACGCAAGCGUCUCCCUCACAUAAAAAAGCUUGUCUUGUCUUCUUCUUAACAGAACUCAAAUCUCACAUUCAAGUAGUUGUUCAUAUUAGUGUGACAAAACCGAGGAGGCUGCAGUUGAGAAAGCAGAUGUUGUGUUGUCUAGCCUGUGCCACUGGUACUGCUGCAGAGUCAAAUUGAAUCCUGUGACUAACGUUUCGGAGAAAGUGAACACAAUCUUUUAAAAACAGAAAGAAUAAAGACCAGUGGCGGGAGGAGAGAGCAGGAGGUUCUAGAGAACGGUUCAGAACGUAGCCAUGGUUGUUCAGGUCAAGCAGACAGGCUGAAAACCAUAAAGAAACAAAUGGGAGGGCGAUUGGGAGGGAAACGUACACCCUCAUUCAUUUUCUCUGCCUGUUGCUUCUUUAACGUGGGGGCGUGCAGUUGUUUUAAUUUUUCAUAUUUUAUGGACCGUUCUACCUAAACUCUCAUUGCCAUGUCAGGGUGUGACACAAGUAUGUUAAGAAGACACUAAAGGCUUAAGUCCAAAGAAAAGAAUUGUACAUUGAUUGGUCAAAGGCAAAGUCCAUCCCAAUUUGCAGCAUGUGCAGGCUACUUACAAAUACAAACAUGCCGUGUCUUAUCGGUCCUUUCUAGGAUAGUGGCUCGCUCCGCUCAGACAUCUGUCUGGGUGACUCCGGAGAAGAGGUCCAAACCACCAGGGUGUUUCUGCAUAGUCGGGUUGCAUUCUGUUCACAAAGGUAUGCCUUCUUUUUGAAUCUCAAAAAAACGUGCUUCCUCUAAGAAAACACUUUGAAGAAGAAGAAAAAAAAUGAAACAAAGCGUACAAAUAAAAAAAAAAACAAUCAAACGAAAAACUCAGAGAAAUGUACACAGGAGCACCUGAGAAAUGUAUUGAAGUCUUUUCCUCUUAACUGUCAUCACA
ensembl:lncRNA